AUGGAAGAGUUCUCUGGCCACACCCACUGAGGUUUAACUCAACCAAUGAGAUUCUUUGUGUCUCCAGAGCAGAAAUGUUUGAGGAACUAAAAGCCCAGUCAGCUUGAUGUUGAGGAGAAGGGCUGUGCAGCAGAGAGGCUGUUUAGUUCUUUCAUUCUACUGCAGUGGAACAACAUCGCUCAUCUGCUGUCUGUUUGGCUUUAACAACUCCAAAGACAUGUUGCUUUACCUCUUUUUACUCUUCUUUACCUUUAUAGCCCUGGGUUCCAUGGACAGCAUAAAGCCACAAAGUACUGAAGAACAUGUUGCAGAGGGCAGAGACAUCUACCUGACCUGUACAUAUGAGGGAGCUAUCAGCAAUAUCCAGUGGUACCGACAAUACCAGAGAUCCAGACCAGAGUUCCUGCUCUACAUCACCGAGGGAGGAUUGAUUCAUCCAACUGGUUCUGGUUUCUCAGCUCACAUUAACAAAGCAGAGAAACAUGUUGAUCUGGAGAUCAUCUCAGCUAAAGUGUCACACUCUGCUGUGUACUACUGUGCUCUGCAGCCCACAGUGACAGGAAACACCUAAACUCUGUACAAAAACCUUUGGAGCAAAGACAACACAAUACUCCACAACGUCCACUAGAGGGAGUCACACUCUGUUCCACUUCAACAGGAGAUGAUGAUCCAGUCUAGAUUGUUUCCCCUCAUGAGUCAGUUGUGAUGAAGACCUUUAGAGAUGAAACUUAUCUG